UACGUAGGGUGCGAGCGUUAAUCGGAAUUACUGGGCGUAAAGAGCUUGUAGGCGGUUUGUCGCGUCUGCUGUGAAAAUCCGGGGCUCAACCCCGGACUUGCAGUGGGUACGGGCAGACUAGAGUGUGGUAGGGGAGACUGGAAUUCCUGGUGUAGCGGUGAAAUGCGCAGAUAUCAGGAGGAACACCGAUGGCGAAGGCAGGUCUCUGGGCCACUACUGACGCUGAGAAGCGAAAGCAUGGGGAGCGAACAGG
rnacentral:rRNA from 1 species